rnacentral:rRNA from 1 species
CCCUUAGAUGUUCUGGGCCGCACGCGCGCUACACUGAUGCAUUCAACGAGUUUCUUCCUGGUCCGAGAGGAAUGGGUAACCUUUUGAAAGUGCAUCGUGAUAGGGAUAGACUAUUGCAAUUAUUGGUCUUCAACGAAGAAUUCCUAGUAGACGUAGUUCAUCAGACUGCAUCGAUUACGUCCCUGCCCUUUGUACACACCGCCCGUCGCUCCUACCGAUUGAAUGCUCAGGUGAGCCAUUCGGACUUUCACCAUGCUGGUUUCCAGUUUUGAUGAAGGAAAGUCUUGCGAACCUUAUCAUUUAGAGGAAGGAGAAGUCGUAACA